CCUACGGGAGGCAGCAGUGAGGAAUAUUGGUCAAUGGACGAGAGUCUGAACCAGCGAAGUAGCGUGAAGGAUGAAUGCCCUAUGGGUUGUAAACUUCUUUUAUAUGGGAAUAAAAUGUUCCACGUGUGGGAUAUUGUAUGUACCAUAUGAAUAAGGAUAGGCUAACUCAGUGCCAGCAGCCGCGGUAAUACGGAGGGUCCGAGCGUUAUCCGGAUUUAUUGGGUUUAAAGGGAGCGUAGGGGGAUUGUUAAGUCAGUUGUGAAAGUCUGCGGCUCAACCGUAAAAUUGCAGUUGAAACUGGCAGUCUUGAGUAUAGUAGAGGAUGGCGGAAUUCGUGGUGUAGCGGUGAAAUCCUUAGAUAUCACGAAGAACAUCGAUUGCGAAGGCAGUUCACUGGACUGCAACUGACACUGAGGCGCGAAAGUGUGGGUAGCAAACAGGAUUAGAUACCCGAGUAGUC
rnacentral:rRNA from 1 species